rnacentral:rRNA from 1 species
AUUGAACGCUGGCGGCAGGCCUAACACAUGCAAGUCGAACGAGCGGCGGACGGGUGAGUAAUGUCUGGGAAACUGCCCGAUGGAGGGGGAUAACUACUGGAAACGGUAGCUAAUACCGCAUACCAUCGGAUGACCCCAUAUGGGAUUAGCUUGUAGGUAGGGUAACGGCUUCCCUAGGCGACGAUCCCUAGCUGGUCUGAGAGGAUGACCAGCCACACUGGACCUGAGACACGGUCCAGACUCCUACGGGAGGCAGCAGUGGGGAAUAUUGCACAAUGGGCGCAAGCCUGAUGCAGCCAUGCCGCGUGUAUGAAGAAGGCCUUCGGGUUGGAAAGUACUUUCAGCGAGGAGGCGUUACCCGCAGAAGAAGCACCGGCUAACUCCGUGCCAGCAGCCGCGGUAAUAC